rnacentral:rRNA from 1 species
UACGGAGGGUGCAAGCGUUAAUCGGAAUUACUGGGCGUAAAGCGCGCGUAGGCGGUUAGGUAAGUCAGAUGUGAAAGCCCCGGGCUUAACCUGGGAACUGCAUUUGAUACUGCCCGACUAGAGUAUGGUAGAGGGGGGUGGAAUUCCCGGAGUAGCGGUGAAAUGCGUAGAUAUCGGGAGGAACACCAGUGGCGAAGGCGGCCCCCUGGACCAAUACUGACACUCAGGUGCGACAGCGUGGGGAGCAAACAGG